rnacentral:tRNA from 1 species
CAGUAGCUCAGCUGGUUAGAGUGCUGGCCUGUCACGCCAGAGGUCGAGGGUUCGAGUCCCUUCUGG